UCUCCGUAGGUGAACCUGCGGAGGGAUCAUUACAGAGUUCAUGCACUACCGGGUAGUUCCCCCACCUUAUGUUAUUAUUACUUUGUGGCUUUGGCCGGCCGCUAGCCUCCGGCCCCACUACCGGCCCCGGCUGGUAAGCGCCCGCCAGAAGACCCAAAACCCUGUUUAUCUGUGUCGUUUGAGUAUUAUAUAAUAGUUAAAACUUUCAACAACGGAUCUCUUGGUUCCG
rnacentral:misc_RNA from 1 species